UGGCUCAGUUGGUAGAGCAUGAUGUUUGCAACGCCAGGGUUGUGGGUUCGAUUCCCAU
rfam:Salmo salar isolate Sally breed double haploid chromosome ssa19, whole genome shotgun sequence.